AAGUCUUCAUCAGUGGGCAGCAUACAACUAGGCCACUAAACUGAGUCAAUAGCUUUAUUCACUCGGUCAAUUUGACUAUAGAUUAUAGGAGGAGUCAUGUGAAAUAUAAUAUAUUAAUAUCGAAAUUCCAGUUCAUACCGAGAACGAAACUGCUAUUAUAAAGUUUAAAGGGAAGUAGCCGAGAACAGAAAGCAUUACCUAAGUUUCUGUUAAUGGUCUGCGAAAAUACACAAUAUAAUCUUGGAAUUUACCUCCACACUCACAGCUGAAACAUGGUGAAGAUGACCCCACUGUUUAUGUUCCUCGUCCUCUCUGCAACCAAAGAGCUGGUCAGAGGAGGCCAUACGUCUGUUCAUGUCCGGGAGGGAGAGAUGGCAGUGCUCCAGUGCCCACUGCGGACCACCAAGGCAGGGCACAGGGAGGGGAACCUGACCCUGGCAUGGAGAAACCACUCUGGGCCUGGGGAGCUCCAGGAGCCUGCUGUGUGGAGGUCUGAAGACACUCUCAUCAUCCUGAGGGUCUGGACCAACCAACAGGGGUCCUACUCCUGCUC